CAUAUCACUAAGCGGAGAAAAAGAAAAUAACAAUGAUUCCUAAAGUAACGGCGAGUGAAAUAGGAAAAGCCCAUAGCCGAAUCCCGCUGUUCUAAGACAGCAGCUGGGAGUUGUGGCGUUUGGAACUGUCUAUUGUAACCGAUUGACCGAACUACGCGACUCCUCUUGAUUGUGGUUUGCCCAUAGCAGGUGAAAGGCCUAUAGCCCGUAGUUUCAAAUUGAAGGUCAGCGGUGAUGGCAGUCCUUAGAGUCGGGUUGUUUGGGAUUGCAGCCCGAAGUCGGUGGUAAACUCCACCUAAGGCUAAAUACGACCGCGAGUCCGAUAGCGAACAAGUACCGUGAGGGACAGUUGAAAAGAACUUUGAAGAGAGAGUUCAAAGUACGUGAAACCGUUCAGAGGUAAACGGGUAGAAAGUCGAAUUAGAGGUUGACAAUCAGGUCGUUGGCUAAGUCGGGGUUGGGCUUGCAACACGUUAAAGGUUGUAGGUCUACUCGUAAGGCUGGCUACGGCUGUACUUGUUGACUUUGGAUCGCCGCAACGGCAGUGACCGACCGGUGGUGUUGUUUCCUCUGGUUGACGUGGACUUGUAUGAGUCUUAACGUCGAUUAAUGAGANAGCAUCCUGCGUACAUGGCACAGUCGAUUAAAGCAGGUUCAAGUGUUCUAGCUGGCUAUUGUUUGCUUUGUAUUGAUGAUACGAUGUUAAAUAACCUCGCUCGNCAACAUCAGGGUAGCAGUGGUUGGUUUAAUGACAGAACAAGGAUCGCAUUGGUGGCGUUUGACUACGAAUUAUCUACCCGACCCGUCUUGAAACACGGACCAAGGAGUCUAACUUGUGCGCGAGCCAUUGGGAAUUGAAACCUAAAGGCAAAGUGAAAGCAAGCAUGGUGAGAUCUGUCGUUUAUUUGUUGAGAAUAACGGCGGCGCAUCAUCGUCACGUCUCGAUUUGGCUUCGGCUAAAGAGACGCAGACUGAGCGCACAGGUUGGGACCCGAAAGAUGGUGAACUAUGCGAGGCGAGGUCGAAGCCAGAGGAAACUCUGGUGGAGGACUGUAGCGGUUCUAACGUGCAAAUUGAUCGUCGCAGCUUCGUAUAGGGGCGAAAGACUAAUCGAACCAUCUAGUAGCUGGUUCCCUCCGAAGUUUCCCUCAGGAUAGCUGGCACUUUCGGAGAGCAGUUUUGUCCGGUAAAGCGAAUGACUAGAGGCCUUGGGGACAUAACGACCUCAACCUAUUCUCAAACUUUGAAUGGGCAAGAAGAGGGACUUACUUAAUUGAAGUCUCCUCAUAUGUGAAUGCUUGAGUGCCAAGUGGGCCAUUUUUGGUAAGCAGAACUGGCGCUGUGGGAUGAACCAAACGUCUAGCUAAGGCGCCAAAUGCUAACGCUCAUCCGAACCCAUUAAAGGUGUUGGUUGAUAGAGACAGCAGGACGGUGGCCAUGGAAGUCGGAACCCGCCAAGGAGUGUGUAACAACUCACCUGCCGAAUCAACCAGUCCUGAAAAUGGAUGGCGCUGAAGCGUUGUGAGCCUAUGCUAGACCGGCAUGGCAGUCGUUAAAAACAUGCCAUGCCGAGUAGGAGGGUCGCUGUGGUAUGCGUUGAAGCUUUGGGCGUGGGCCCGAGUCGAGCUUCCACAGGUGCAGAUCUUGGUGGUAGUAGCAAAUAUUCAAAUGAGAACUUUGAAGGCCGAAGUGGAGAAGGGUUCCAUGUGAACAGCAUUUGAACAUGGGUCAGUCGGUCCUAAGCGAUAGGCAAAUGCCGUUCUGAAAGCAGGCUUUGAUUUUCAUCGUUUAUAUGAAUUGAUAAAUGCCUGAUUUUGGUCGAAAGGGAAUCGGGUUAAUAUUCCCGAACCUGGACGCGGAGAUGGAUAGUAGUGUAACAACUGCUAUCAGUGCGGUAACGCAAACGAUCUCGGAUUCGUCGGCGGGAGUCCUGGGAAGAGUUCUCUCUUCUUUGUAAGGGGCUGAAUCCCUGGAAUCGGCUUAGCCGGAGAUAGGGAUAUUGCAAAACCCGUAAAGCAUCACACUUCUUGUGAUGUCCGGUGCACGACUGUCGACACUUAAAAGUCCGAGCUAGACGUUCGUAAUGUUCGCGCCAGGCCGUACCCAUAUCCGCAGCAGGUCUCCAAGGUGAACAGCCUCUGGCCUUAGACUGAUGUAGUCAAGGGAAGUCGGCAAAUUGGAUCCGUAACUUCGGAACAAGGAUUGGCUCUAUGGGUUGGGCCGUGACGGGCUGUGCUAGGAAGCGAUGCCUGCUAUUGAUGCUUUGGGUCUGACUGGCAACGGUUGGGCCUAGCGUCGAUUGGCGGCGCGUGGAUCUGGCAUGGCUUCGCCGGUGGUUUCGGCCAUCGGCUACGUUCGGCAAAAAGCAACCGACAUAGAACUGGUACGGACCAGGGGAA
rnacentral:rRNA from 1 species